rnacentral:rRNA from 2 species
UACACAUGCAGUCGAACGAUGAUCCCAGCUUGCUGGGGGAUUAGUGGCGAACGGGUGAGUAACACGUGAGUAACCUGCCCUUAACUCUGGGAUAAGCCUGGGAAACUGGGUCUAAUACCGGAUAUGACUCCUCAUCGCAUGGUGGGGGGUGGAAAGCUUUAUUGUGGUUUUGGAUGGACUCGCGGCCUAUCAGCUUGUUGGUGAGGUAAUGGCUCACCAAGGCGACGACGGGUAGCCGGCCUGAGAGGGUGACCGGCCACACUGGGACUGAGACACGGCCCAGACUCCUACGGGAGGCAGCAGUGGGGAAUAUUGCACAAUGGGCGAAAGCCUGAUGCAGCGACGCCGCGUGAGGGAUGACGGCCUUCGGGUUGUAAACCUCUUUCAGUAGGGAAGAAGCGAAAGUGACGGUACCUGCAGAAGAAGCGCCGGCUAACUACGUGCCAGCAGCCGCGGUAAUACGUAGGGCGCAAGCGUUAUCCGGAAUUAUUGGGCGUAAAGAGCUCGUAGGCGGUUUGUCGCGUCUGCCGUGAAAGUCCGGGGCUCAACUCCGGAUCUGCGGUGGGUACGGGCAGACUAGAGUGAUGUAGGGGAGACUGGAAUUCCUGGUGUAGCGGUGAAAUGCGCAGAUAUCAGGAGGAACACCGAUGGCGAAGGCAGGUCUCUGGGCAUUAACUGACGCU